rnacentral:rRNA from 1 species
AGCGAACGCUGGCGGCAGGCUUAAUACAUGCAAGUCGAGCGCCUGUAGCAAUACAGGAGCGGCAGACGGGAGAGUAACACGUGGGAACGUGCCCUUUGGUUCGGAACAACACAGGGAAACUUGUGCUAAUACCGGAGAAGCCCUUACGGGGAAAGACUUAUCGCCAAAGGAUCGGCCCGCGUCUGAUUAGCUAGUUGGUGGGGUAAUGGCCCACCAAGGCGACGAUCAGUAGCUGGUCUGAGAGGAUGAUCAGCCUCAUUGGGACUGAGACACGGCCCAAACUCCUACGGGAGGCAGCAGUAGGGAAUAUUGGACAAUGGGGGCAACCCUGAUCCAGCCAUGCCGCGUGAGUGAUGAAGGCCUUAGGGUUGUAAAGCUCUUUCGGCGGGGAAGAUAAUGACGGUACCCGCAUAAGAAGCCCCGGCUAACUUCGUGCCAGCAGCCGCCGCCGUAA